AAAUUGAAGAGUUUGAUCAUGGCUCAGAUUGAACGCUGGCGGCAGGCCUAACACAUGCAAGUCGAACGGUAACAGGAAGCAGCUUGCUGCUUCGCUGACGAGUGGCGGACGGGUGAGUAAUGUCUGGGAAACUGCCUGAUGGAGGGGGAUAACUACUGGAAACGGUAGCUAAUACCGCAUAAUGUCGCAAGACCAAAGAGGGGGACCUUCGGGCCUCUUGCCAUCGGAUGUGCCCAGAUGGGAUUAGCUUGUUGGUGGGGUAACGGCUCACCAAGGCGACGAUCCCUAGCUGGUCUGAGAGGAUGACCAGCCACACUGGAACUGAGACACGGUCCAGACUCCUACGGGAGGCAGCAGUGGGGAAUAUUGCACAAUGGGCGCAAGCCUGAUGCAGCCAUGCCGCGUGUAUGAAGAAGGCCUUCGGGUUGUAAAAGUACUUUCAGCGGGGGAGGAAGGGAGUAAAGUUAAUACCUUUGCUCAUUGACGUUACCCGCAGAAGAAGCACCGGCUAACUCCGUGCCAGCAGCCGCGGUAAUACGGAGGGUGCAAGCGUUAAUCGGAAUUACUGGGCGUAAAGCGCACGCAGGCGGUUUGUUAAGUCAGAUGUGAAAUCCCCGGGCUCAACCUGGGAACUGCAUCUGAUACUGGCAAGCUUGAGUCUCGUAGAGGGGGGUAGAAUUCCAGGUGUAGCGGUGAAAUGCGUAGAGAUCUGGAGGAAUACCGGUGGCGAAGGCGGCCCCCUGGACGAAGACUGACGCUCAGGUGCGAAAGCGUGGGGAGCAAACAGGAUUAGAUACCCUGGUAGUCCACGCCGUAAACGAUGUCGACUUGGAGGUUGUGCCCUUGAGGCGUGGCUUCCGGAGCUAACGCGUUAAGUCGACCGCCUGGGGAGUACGGCCGCAAGGUUAAAACUCAAAUGAAUUGACGGGGGCCCGCACAAGCGGUGGAGCAUGUGGUUUAAUUCGAUGCAACGCGAAGAACCUUACCUGGUCUUGACAUCCACGGAAGUUUUCAGAGAUGAGAAUGUGCCUUCGGGAACCGUGAGACAGGUGCUGCAUGGCUGUCGUCAGCUCGUGUUGUGAAAUGUUGGGUUAAGUCCCGCAACGAGCGCAACCCUUAUCCUUUGUUGCCAGCGGUCCGGCCGGGAACUCAAAGGAGACUGCCAGUGAUAAACUGGAGGAAGGUGGGGAUGACGUCAAGUCAUCAUGGCCCUUACGACCAGGGCUACACACGUGCUACAAUGGCGCAUACAAAGAGAAGCGACCUCGCGAGAGCAAGCGGACCUCAUAAAGUGCGUCGUAGUCCGGAUUGGAGUCUGCAACUCGACUCCAUGAAGUCGGAAUCGCUAGUAAUCGUGGAUCAGAAUGCCACGGUGAAUACGUUCCCGGGCCUUGUACACACCGCCCGUCACACCAUGGGAGUGGGUUGCAAAAGAAGUAGGUAGCUUAACCUUCGGGAGGGCGCUUACCACUUUGUGAUUCAUGACUGGGGUGAAGUCGUAACAAGGUAACCGUAGGGGAACCUGCGGUUGGAUCACCUCCUUA
rnacentral:rRNA from 1 species